rnacentral:rRNA from 1 species
GAUGAACGCUGGCGGCGUGCCUAAUACAUGCAAGUCGAGCGAACAGACGAGGAGCUUGCUCCUCUGACGUUAGCGGCGGACGGGUGAGUAACACGUGGAUAACCUACCUAUAAGACUGGGAUAACUUCGGGAAACCGGAGCUAAUACCGGAUAAUAUAUUGAACCGCAUGGUUCAAUAGUGAAAGACGGUUUUGCUGUCACUUAUAGAUGGAUCCGCGCCGCAUUAGCUAGUUGGUAAGGUAACGGCUUACCAAGGCAACGAUGCGUAGCCGACCUGAGGGGGUGAUCGGCCACGCUGGAACUGAGACACGGUCCAGACUCCUACGGGAGGCAGCAGUAGGGAAUCUUCCGCAAGGGGCGAAAGCCUGACGGAGCAACGCCGCGUGAGUGAUGAAGGUCUUCGGAUCGUAAAACUCUGUUAUUAGGGAAGAACAAAUGUGUAAGUAACUAUGCACGUCUUGACGGUACCUAAUCAGAAAGCCACGGCUAACUACG